GCCUGGAUAGCUCAGUCGGUAGAGCGCGAACUUGGUAAGUUCGAGGCCACCAGUUCGAUCCUGGUUCCAGGCU
rnacentral:tRNA from 1 species